rnacentral:rRNA from 1 species
CCCUUAGAUGUCCUGGGCCGCACGCGCGCUACACUGACAUGUUCAACAAGCCUCCUAGUUCGACAGGAUUUGGGAAAUCUUUGAACGCAUGUCGUGAUAGGGAUAGAUCAUUGCAAUUAUUGAUCUUGAACGAGGAAUUCCUAGUAAACGCGAGUCAUCAGCUCGCAUUGAUUACGUCCCUGCCCUUUGUACACACCGCCCGUCGCACCUACCGAUUGAAUGUUUCGGUGAAGAUUCCGGAUAGGACUUUUUUGAUUUAUUUCAAUUUUGUCUUAAAAGCUAUCUAAACCUCAACAUUGAGAGGAAGGUGAAGUCGUAACA